CUCGGGUCCACGCUCGUGCACACGCCCGCACUCCCGCUCUGCACCCUUGGCCACCAGGAACCUCCGUGGGGCUGCCGUGAGCUCGGAUACAUCCAGUCCCAGCACCAAGCAAGUCUGAGAAAGGUUCUGCCACCAGGAACCUUGCAGAGUUCAGCCCGCUCGCCAGUCCCCGCCCAUUGGCCGAGCCUUGGUUCGUUCUGGACCCUGGCUCUUUAUAUAGAUAGAUAGCUGUGUGACUCGAUGGGCUGUUGCUGGAGGAUGAAAACCCAGAGGGGCUGAUGGUUAGUGUACAGGCUGUGUCUCUGUUAACGUGGGUGUGGCCCGUUUCAGGAGCUGUUUAACCUGCCAGGUGUAAUUUUGGGGCCUGAUUCACACAGCCUGUCCCCAGUGUAGCCAGAAUUUCAAGCUAUAAGUCUCUCUUUGAUUGUGUUCUUCACAUUUGGCUUCAACACAGCGGCAUCAUUUCCUAGAUGGGCCCCGUGCACAUGCUCCACACAGAGACUUCACCCAGCUCGUGCCGCAACACGGCUGGGAAAGUGAAAGCGCUUGCAAGAUGGAAUCAUCUUUGGAGGGAGGCGGCGUGUGGGCCUUUGGAGAAGAUUCCAGAAUCUCUUAAAAAGUCUUUAUGGGCAAGAUGAACUCAGCCAAGUCUGGGUGAAACGCCAGAAGGUCCCCGGAAUGUCUUGUCUGAAGCUGUGGGUGGGGAGUGACCUCAGCAGGGCCGGGUGUGGUGAGUCAGGAUGGCCAAGGAGAAGGUUGCUCCAACUCCCCAGCGUGGUUUAAAAGACACUUAGACAUGUAAGGAUUAAUGGGCGCGGACUUCCUCUCUCUGCCUUCUGCCUUCCUACCUGCCCCUCCGUCACCCCUCGUCCCCUUCCUUCCUACUCUCUUUCGUACAUUCCAAAUGUUAAUGUUAUAGUAUAAUAAAAAAAACUAAGA